GCCCGGCUAGCUCAAUCGGUAGAGCGUGAGACUCUUACUACCCGGAGAAGGAAACUUCUGGAGGUAAAAAAGACAUCUCAAGGUUGUGGGUUCGACCCCCACGUCGGGCU